rnacentral:rRNA from 1 species
AUUGAACGCUGGCGGCAUGCCUUACACAUGCAAGUCGAACGGCAGCACGGGAGCAAUCCUGGUGGCGAGUGGCGAACGGGUGAGUAAUAUAUCGGAACGUGCCCAGUCGUGGGGGAUAACGUAGCGAAAGCUACGCUAAUACCGCAUACGAUCUAUGGAUGAAAGCGGGGGAUCGCAAGACCUCGCGCGAUUGGAGCGGCCGAUAUCAGAUUAGGUAGUUGGUGAGGUAAAGGCUCACCAAGCCGACGAUCUGUAGCUGGUCUGAGAGGACGACCAGCCACACUGGGACUGAGACACGGCCCAGACUCCUACGGGAGGCAGCAGUGGGGAAUUUUGGACAAUGGGCGCAAGCCUGAUCCAGCAAUGCCGCGUGCAGGAUGAAGGCCUUCGGGUUGUAAACUGCUUUUGUACGGAGCGAAACGGCUUCCACUAAUACUGGGGGCUAAUGACGGUACCGUAAGAAUAAGCACCGGCUAACUACGUGCCAGCAGCCGCAGUAAAAC